GACGAACGCUGGCGGCGUGCCUAAUACAUGCAAGUUGAGCGCUGAAGGUUGGUACUUGUACCAACUGGAUGAGCAGCGAACGGGUGAGUAACGCGUGGGGAAUCUGCCUUUGAGCGGGGGACAACAUUUGGAAACGAAUGCUAAUACCGCAUAAAAACUUUAAACACAAGUUUUAAGUUUGAAAGAUGCAAUUGCAUCACUCAAAGAUGAUCCCGCGUUGUAUUAGCUAGUUGGUGAGGUAAAGGCUCACCAAGGCGAUGAUACAUAGCCGACCUGAGAGGGGUGUCGGCCAAAUUGGGACUGAGACACGGCCCAAGCUCCUAAGGGAGGCAGCAGUAGGGAAUCUUCGGGAAUGGACGAAAGUCUGACCGAGCAACGCCGCGUGAGGUAAGAUGGUUUUCGGAUCGUAAAACUCUGUUGGUAGAGAAGAACGUUGGUGAGAGGGGAAAGCUCAUCAAGUGACGGUAACUACCCAGAAAGGGACGGCUAACUACGUG
rnacentral:rRNA from 1 species